rnacentral:rRNA from 1 species
GACGAACGCUGGCGGCGUGCUUAACACAUGCAAGUCGAACGGAAAGGCCCUGCUUUUGUGGGGUGCUCGAGUGGCGAACGGGUGAGUAACACGUGAGUAACCUGCCCUUGACUUUGGGAUAACUUCAGGAAACUGGGGCUAAUACCGGAUAGGAGCUCCUGCUGCAUGGUGGGGGUUGGAAAGUUUCGGCGGUUGGGGAUGGACUCGCGGCUUAUCAACUUGUUGGUGGGGUAGUGGCUUACCAAGGCUUUGACGGGUAGCCGGCCUGAGAGGGUGACCGGCCACAUUGGGACUGAGAUACGGCCCAGACUCCUACGGGAGGCAGCAGUGGGGAAUAUUGCACAAUGGGCGGAAGCCUGAUGCAGCAACGCCGCGUGCGGGAUGACGGCCUUCGGGUUGUAAACCGCUUUCGCCUGUGACGAAGCGUGGGUGACGGUAAUGGGUAAAGAAGCACCGGCUAACUACGUG